GCGACCCGGGACAGGGGCAGAGAAGCGGAGGGAGGCGCAGGGCCCGCCAUCCCGGCCCCUUUGUGCCUGCGCUCCAUCACCCGGGUCGGCGGUAGGGAGAGGUGGCAGAUGGCCAGUGGCAGCCCCAGACCCUCGGGACCCGCGUUGAGCAUCGACUCCAGCCCACCCUUCCCCAACACGGUGGGGACGGGGGUCAAAAAAUGGGCCCGUGGCCAGAGAAGGAGGGAUGGCGGUGAGAUGUGGGUUACGACCUCACAUGCGGUUUACGUAUGCGGAAAGGGAAAGGGGAGGUAAAGGCCGGGCAUCCGUCUGCCCCAGCGCACCCAGCCGUCUGCAGGCAGAAAAGACGGCACCAAAAGUCUUCAAAAGAAGUUCUGCGAAGCGUCAGCCUCGGAGAAAGAUGGAUGGAAAUCAUGUUCACUGACACUAGUCCCAGGAGGGGCUACCCCCUCUAUUUCUGCAGGUGCCGACUCUUACGUCCCUCUGUUCUCACGCUCGAUCCUUGCUUGUUUUGAAAUCCAAAAGGCUUUUCCAGCCCGCCACCACUCCCCGCUCACGAAUACACACGCACACACCCACACACACACCCUCAGGCUCCUCCCUCCCACACAACAACACUGGGUGCAGAGCUCUCCCUCCCACCGCUGCUGGGUCGCCCUCAUCCCGCGGCAUCCGCACGGCCGCCCCGCUGCCAGCCCAAACCGAGGGGCGCCUCUCUCCACCGCGUCAUCCCGCUGCCCUCAGUGCGUCUAUUUGCUCUGAUUUACUACAGAGGCAGGGAUGGUUAAGGGCCCUCUGGAAAGGUUCAGUUUCUCAAACUGCAGGGGGGCGGAGUGGAGGACAAGAGCAACAACACUCCAGAGGCGUUUAUGAUAUUAUACUGCGCCAAUUUUGGUUAUGGUUAUAGCUGUAAACACAUUUAUUUCAUUCUUGUAAACCAGUUGUGAUAAAUACCGCAUAAAGCAGAGAAAAGAGACAGCUAUUAAGUCUGCUUACUAAUAAAAGGGCUGACAUCUUCUCAGUGCUUUUUCCUUCAGCCAAGAAAAAAAAAAUUACUACAAGUAGCUCCCUUUUACCCGUAAAUUCCGAUGAAUCACUUUUCUUACAGUCUCCAGCAUCGUGAAUUCCUUUUUUCUCUGCCUUUUUGGUGCCAUUGUCUCUUGUUGCAUUGUCUCUCUGGCGGGGCUCUCGGGUUUUGCUGCCCGCACUAAGCAUGGGGGCAAGCCCAUGAGAAGGGUCGGAGCAGAGGAGGAACACACACCACACCCUCCCUCCUGCGCGGCCGGGCGAGGGGGAGCUCCUGCCCCUUCCCCCUGCCCUCAGGCCGUCCCGGCCCCUCUGCGGCUCCGCUCCGCGUUUCCUGCCACGGAACUGGGGCUGAGGGGGCGAUCCCGGCUCUUCAGGCUUUUCCGUGGGAGUGUGCCCCCGCUGUGCCCCAGAGUUCACCCGGAGCCUCGGAGGCGGCUCCUGCUUGCUGAAUUCCCCCAUUUAUUUAAAUUGAGUUUGUGAGAAGUUUAAACCUUGUAGAAGGUUUCCUUUUUCUUUUUGUUUUUAUUUUCUUUUUGUUUGAUGUUUCUGGUUUUUGUUCAGGAGGUUUUUGGGGUUUUGUUUUAUUGUUCGGGGUUUUUUUGAGUUCGUUUUGCUUUGGUUUUCUUUAAGCGUAGUCAGCAUCCGGAAAUCUGGGCACAAAAGAAACCCCAACCCUUACAUGAAUGUUGCGGUCCAAUUUAACCCAGUGGCAGAGGAGUGAAAAUGCCGGGGAGGCUGCUCGCUUUCCGCGGGGACAUGGCUGGAGCAGAGGCAAGGAGGAGAACCGAGGCCGAGGUUUCACCGCGCCCGCAGCUCAGCCAAGCUGUUGUUUUAAAGGAGCAAUAAAAGUGAAUUAUGACUAAACGCCUUCUCACUUAAUGGUUUUAGACGGGGAUCCCCAGCCUCGGCAAAUACGGCUGAUUUCUUGGAUUACCCAGCACGUGAGAAGUAACCAACCACAUUCUUUGUGAGCUCUGAUAUUUUUAAGAUACGUUUUCUGAAAUAUCUUUCUGGCUGCUAAGCACUACUUUCUAGAAAAACAGGAUUAUUUUAAUAUUUUUUAAAGCACCUUUCGUUCAUGUAACAGGCUGCUUUCUGCAGGAGAUGCUUAUCCUACUGAGUCUCUGUUACGUUCUGCCUGUAACAGGGAAAGUCCUCGUUCAUGCUUUUGUUACAGCUCAGGAUUUCCAAGCUUUGUAUCCUCAGAGAUAAGAUGCCACAUUUAUACAUUAAAAGGAACAAAUCUCCAUCAAA